AUUGAACGCUGGCGGCAGGCCUAACACAUGCAAGUCGAACGAGUGGCGGACGGGUGAGUAAUGUCUGGGAAUCUGCCCGAUGGAGGGGGAUAACUACUGGAAACGGUAGCUAAUACCGCAUACCAUCGGAUGUACCCAUAUGGGAUUAGCUAGUAGGUGGGGUAACGGCUCACCUAGGCGACGAUCCCUAGCUGGUUUGAGAGGAUGAACAGCCACACUGGAAAUGAGACACGGGCCAGACUCCUACGGGAGGCAGCAGUGGGGAAUAUUGCACAAUGGGCGCAAGCCUGAUGCAGCCAUGCCGCGUGUAUGAAGAAGGCCUUAGGGUUGUAAAGUACUUUCAGCGAGGAGGCGUUACUCGCAGAAGAAGCACCGGCUAACUCCGUGCCAGCAGCCGCGGUAAUUC
rnacentral:rRNA from 1 species